rnacentral:rRNA from 1 species
GUAGUUAGCCGGAGCUUCUUCUGCAGGUACCGUCAAUUUCUUCCCUGCUGAAAGCGGUUUACAACCCGAAGGCCUUCAUCCCGCACGCGGCGUUGCUGCGUCAGGGUUUCCCCCAUUGCGCAAAAUUCCCCACUGCUGCCUCCCGUAGGAGUCUGGACCGUGUCUCAGUUCCAGUGUGGCCGAUCAGCCUCUCAGCUCGGCUACCCAUCGUCGGCUUGGUGGGCUGUUAUCUCACCAACUACCUAAUGGGACGCGAACCCCUCUUAUAGCGAUAAAUCUUUGACCUCUGUACCAUGCGGCACUGUGGUCUUAUGCGGUAUUAGCACUUGUUUCCAGGUGUUAUUCCCCACUAUAAGGCAGGUUGUUCACGCGUUACUCACCCGUUCGCCACUAGAAUACUGUGUCUUCCAUCCGAAAACUUCAAACUCAAUAUCCCCGUUCGACUUGCAUGUGUUAGGCGCGCCGCCAGCGUUCGUCCUGAACCACGAUCAAUUCUAGA